GGGUAAAACCCCCUAACAGCAGUUUACAUGUGUAGGUCACUGCGUUACUGUGUUAGUCAUUGUCUCUAUGCAGCAAUGACAAGACUUGAAGAAGCAAACAGAGAAGUGAACAUGCACUCAUCAGUCAGAUACCUUGGCUAUCUUGCCAGAAUCAACCUACUUGUUGCUGUUUGCAUGGGUCUUUAUGUCAGAUGGGAAAAAACUGCAGAUGCACUGAUUUUGGUAAUAUUUAUUCUGGGACUCUUUGUUCUUGGAAUUGCCAGCAUACUGUACUACUAUUUUUCAAUGGAAACAGCAAGUUUGAGUCUCUCCAAUCUUUGGUUUGGUUUUUUGCUUGGCCUUCUCUGUUUUCUUAAUAAUUCUGCCUUCAAAACAGAUGUGAAAGAAGAAGCUACUAAAUAUUUGCUCCUCUCUGCCAUUGUUUUAAGGAUAUUAUGUGCUUUGGUUGAGAGGAUUUGUGGUUGUAUCCAUCAUCGACCAACUCUGCUGACAACAGUUGAGUUUUUGGAGCUAGUUGGAUUUGCAAUUGCCAGCACAACUAUGCUGGUAGAAAAAUCUAUGAGUAUUAUUCUGUUGGUCAUGGCUUUGGCCAUGUUGAUUAUUGACUUACGUAUGAAGUCUUUUUUGGCAAUUCCAAAUUUGGCAAUUUUUGGAGCCAUUGCAUCCUUACUCUUUUUUCCAUCACUGCAAAUCCCCACAAACCCAUUUGCCUUGGCAUGUUUCUUCAGCUGCCUGAUUUCAGAUCCCCUUCUCGAUGUUUACUUCAGUGGACUUUCAGUUACUGAACGAUGGAAGCCCUACUUGUACCGUGGUAAAAUCUGCAGGCGGCUUUCUGUCAUCUCAGUUGGAGUCAUUGAACUAAUCUUUUUCAUUCUUGCAGCCUUUAAACUACGUGAUUUGGAUCUCUGGUAUUUUGUGAUACCUGGUUUUUCUAUUUUUGGAAUUUUCUGGAUGAUCUGUCAUGUGAUUUUUUUUAUAACUCUUUGGGGUUUUCACACAAAACUAAAUGACUGUCACAAGGUAUACUAUACCCACCGUGCAGAAAACAACAACCUUGACAGAGUUAUGGCAUCUAAAGGAAUGCGUCACUUCUGUUUAAUUUCGGAACAGCUAGUAUUUUUCAGCCUUGUCGCGACUGCUGUUUUGGGAGCUGUUUCUUGGCAGCCAACCAAUGGGAUCUUCAUGAGUGCAUUUCUCAUCGUUUUACCUCUGGAGUCCAUGGCUCAUGGGCUCUUCCAUGAGCUGGGAAACUGCUUGGGAGGAACAUGUGUUGGGUAUGCUGUUGUGAUUCCCACCAACUUUUGCAGUCCUGAUGGCCAACCAACUCUUCUUCCACCUGAGCAUGUACAAGAGUUAAAUCUGAGGUCUACCGGCAUGCUUAAUGCCAUCCAAAGGUUUUUUGCUUAUCACAUGAUUGAAACAUAUGGUUGUGACUACUCUACAAGUGGACUGACCUUUGAUACCCUUCACUCCAAGAUCAAGUCUUUUCUUGAACUUCGGACAGCAGAUGGACCCAGACACGAUACCUACAUUUUAUAUUACAGUGGUCACUCACAUGGCACUGGUGAAUGGGCGCUGGCAGGGGGUGAUGCUUUACGACUUGACACGCUUUUGGAGUGGUGGAGAGAAAAGAACGGCACUUUUUGUUCUCGACUUAUCAUUGUUUUAGACUGUGAGAACUCUCAGCCUUGGGUUAAAGAAGUAAGAAAAGUAAAUGACCAGUAUGUUGCCGUGCAAGGAGCAGAAAUGGCCAGAGUUGUAGACAUCGAGGAAGCAGACCCUCCACAGCUUGGUGACUUCACCAGGCAAUGGGUUGAGUACAACUGUAACCCCGACAGCAACAUCAGCUGGUCCGAAAAGGGCCGUACAGUGAAAGCGGCCUAUGGUGUGUCAAAACGCUGGAGCGACUACACUUUGCAUUUGCCAACGGGAAGUGAUGUUGCCAAACACUGGAUGAUAUACUUCCCACGCAUCACCUAUCCAUUAGUACAUUUGGCAAACUGGUUUUGUGGUCUCAAUCUGUUCUGGGUCUGUAAAGCGUGCUUUAGGUGCUUGAAAAGACUGAAAAUGAGUUGGUUUCUUCCCACAGUGCUGGACACAGGACAGGGUUUCAAACUCGUCAAAUCCUAAUUAGCAACCAAAGAGAAAAUGAAGUGAGAGCUCUGGGAACUUUCUCACUCUACCAUACUUAGAAAUUUUUAUAUGACUAUUUUUCUCUGAAAAAGUCUGCUACACUCACUUUAUUGAGCUCUUUGUGCAGCUACAGUAUAUGCAACAGUUAGAAACCACAAUCUUAAACAGAGGAGGGUAGGACUAUGAUGUUUGAGUUUUGUUACUGGUCUGUAUAUACAUAGAAAAAAGGGAAGAACAAAAGUGUGGGACUCCUGACAUGUCCUGAGACUGUGAGCAGUAUCCGCUCUGCAGUGCAGUGAUGGACCUGGCUUUGGGAGGGAUGAACACAACAAUUGGUGCUGAUCUUUGGCCUCUGUUCAUUAAAUGGUUUCCAGCUUACUUACCAAACUGUUAGAUUUUCUCUAGGAUAGACUGGGUGAUCUUCAGCAGUUUGCUGAAAGUUAGAUAACGUUAACUAAAAGUACAGCAAAAAAAGUAUUUGCAAAACUAAUGUGUUUGUAGAGUUGUUUCAGUUUCCUCCGUGAAAGAACUCUGUAGUUUUCUAAAUUUGAAAUAGUUUUAAGCUGAGGUAUUCCUACUUUUGAUUUUGUUAUUUUUUUUAAACAGCAAAGGCAUGGUGAAAAUGCUGUUUUAAACUCAAAGAAAUGUUUACAGCCAUUGAAAGGAUGAGGCCUUUCUGAACAAAGAGACUUGUCUUGUGUGUUUCAAAAUAUAGUAUAACCAGGGCUGUGGGAUGAGGAGCCUCAGGAAUUCAACAGUGUUAAUUCCCCACUUCUACAGUGACUAGUAUCAAGGUGUUCUACCAUGACCCAUGUUCCCAGGUGGAGUUUUUCCCCAACUCCUGGUGCUCACACGCCCCUGCAGGUCUCUGCCUGGCCCUGGGUGUGCCUGAGGGACAGUGCACCAGGAGCCCCUAAUCCCAGUGAGCAGUUAUCCCUCUGCUGUUCCCUGCAUGAAAUACAGGGCCAACACCUGACAGAGGAAUUUACAUCUAAUUCCAAAGAAUGUUACAUAUGCUCUCAGUUAUGUACAAGUUAUUUUUCUUUAGUGGUAACAUGCUUAGAAAUUGUCUGGAUGGAGAAAAUGUAGAUUUUUUUUUAGAGGAUUGUCUCUACUGUAUAUUCAGACAUUUUGUUAUAAAGGUUGUUACAAAUUUGUAUGCAGUAGUAAUGUUAUAUUGACUUUGUUUCGUUUACCUCCUGUAUAGUAUCAGCCUUGCUGAAACAUGCAAAUGCACUAAGUCCAACAAAUUUAAGUCUUUAAAAGGAAUUCGAAUUGCAAAUUCACGGUAGUAUUUUUCUUUGAACAAGUAUUGGGGGAAAAAGCCAUUCUGCUUUUUUUGCACUACCAGAUUUACAUAUUUGCUGUUCCUUAUGCUUUGUAUGCCUUGUGAUUGUUGUUGUCCAGCCUUCAGUUCAGAUUUUUCCCUGAAAUAAUUUUUUCACCUUUAUUAAGUUUUCCCUUUAUUUUGCAAAGGCAUAACUAAUGCUAUGCUAGCUGUAAAGCACCGCUGUUGCCAGCAGCAGACAAUGUAAAUGGGUUAAUUUUCUUGUUUAUAAAUACCUUUCUGUGGGAAGAUUUUUACUGGACGUACCAAUUUUAGAUCUGUAAAUAGGGGGGGUUUUGUGUGUAUUUGUGCUUUACUUAAAUAUAUUUUGCUGGUUUGGGUGCUCA